rnacentral:rRNA from 1 species
GACGAACGCUGGCGGCGUGCUUAACACAUGCAAGUCGAGCGGUAAGGCCCUUUCGGGGGUACACGAGCGGCGAACGGGUGAGUAACACGUGGGUGACCUGCCCUCAGCUCUGGGAUAAGCCUGGGAAACCGGGUCUAAUACCGGAUAUGACUCCAUGACGCAUGUUGUGGGGUGGAAAGCCUUGUGCGGCUGAGGAUGGGCCCGCGGCCUAUCAGCUUGUUGGUGGGGUGANGGCCUACCAAGGCGACGACGGGUAGCCGGCCUGAGAGGGCGACCGGCCACACUGGGACUGAGACACGGCCCAGACUCCUACGGGAGGCAGCAGUGGGGAAUCUUGCGCAAUGGGCGCAAGCCUGAUCCAGCGAUGCCGCGUGUGUGAAGAAGGCCUGCGGGUUGUAAAGCACUUUCAGUAGGGAAGAAAGCCGAGUGCUAAUAUCAUUCGGUCUUGACGUUACUUACAGAAGAAGCACUGGCUAACUCCGUGCCAGCCGCCG